ensembl:ncRNA C48C5.5 ncRNA
AAUGAGCCGACCGAGUGAGCCAGAGAGCCAGGCGACCCUCUAGUUUUUUCUCUAUCUUUUCGUCAUCAGUGUUUUUCGUUUUUCAUCGUCAUGUCGUCUGCGCCCGCGCGUUGUUUUCGGUAGGAUAUUCUUUCUCUCCACUACUCCAUCCUCCGGUUUUUCUCCGGUUGUUUUUGUUGCUAUUUCUGUGCCUAUAUGUGUGUAUGUGUUUUUUCAGCCCCAGAGAGCCACGCAGUUCCCGUGAUCUCUCGCGCCGAGCGCGCACCUAGCCCAGCUCUCCCCGCCCCAUGGUCCCUCCCCUUUUCUCUAUUUUCUAGAAGAAGUGAGCUCCUUGCCAGGCAU